GUUUGAUUCUUUUCAAAAAUGCUUAAUGACACUCAGAUACCAUCUCACAUAUCUUCAUAAAGAUCUUUCUCUUUUAUUCCAGCCGUAGUUCUGAAAUUUAUGCAAGGAGAUCCACUCCCAUAGCUCUAAAUGGAAAGCAUGAAUUUUGCUUUCAAUCAGCUACUGAUUUUCAGAUUAAGCAGUGAAUGUGCCCACUCAUCAUUGGUGCUGGCAGCAAUUUUCCACUUGUGGAGACAUCUGGAAAAGGAAAAUCAGAAAGAAUGUCUUUUUAAUUUGUCUUCUACUGUAUUAGAAGAAAAGGAUCCUUUCUCAGGAGGCUCCAGUGAUCACAACCACACUUGGUCAGCCUCCGCAUGUCCACAGACAGAAAUGUAAGGAAAUUCUACGUGCUCCAAGGAAACAUCAAGUUUCAUGUCCAACACGAGCUACCACCACAGCUGGAGAUAUGAAGAAUCACCACAUCUUACCUCCUUUAUAUCAGUUCCCAUAGAAAGUCCAAGACUCUAAGCAGUGUUAUUUUAUGUCCCUUGUGGUUCUGUAAACUCAUUUGAUCCCCUAAGAAGCAUUGUGGUAUAACUAAUAUUCACAAACUCAAAAGCAUUCAAGCACCAUGGAACUGGUAAAAAUUAAUGGUGUGAAGAAUGAUACAAGAGGCAAGGGUAGAGAGUGACAAAACAGAGGAUGUAUGACCCACUCGGUUC
rnacentral:lncRNA from 1 species